CAGGAGUGAAGCAGCUGUGUGUUGGACUGGAGAGUCCAAACUGUAGACUGGAGACUCUGAGAUUGAUUGGCUGCAGUUUGUCAGAGAUCAGCUGGGAUUCUCUGGUGUCAGCUAUGAAAUGCAACCCCUCCCAUCUGAAACAUCUGGACCUGAAUUUCAAUGACUUUCAGCGUCCAGGAGUAAAUCAUCUGUGUGGUUUUCUGGGGAGUCCAGACUGUAGACUGGAAACUCUGAGAUUGAUUAGCUGCAGUUUGUCAGAGAUCAGCUGUGAUUCUCUGGUCUCAGCUCUGAAGUC